rnacentral:rRNA from 1 species
CCUACGGGUGGCUGCAGUGGGGAAUAUUGCACAAUGGGGGAAACCCUGAUGCAGCGACGCCGCGUGAGUGAAGAAGUAUUUCGGUAUGUAAAGCUCUAUCAGCAGGGAAGAAAAAAGACGGUAUCUGAGUAAGAAGCCCCGGCCAACUACGUGCCAGCAGCCGCGGUAAUACGUAGGGGGCAGGCGUUAUCCGGAUUUACUGGGUGAAAAGGGUGCGUAGACGGUGUGCAAAGUCUGGGGUGAAAUGCCGGAGCUUAACUGCGGAACUGCUUUGGAAACGGGCGAACUAGGGUGCGGGAGGGGUAAGCGGAAUUCCUGGGUUAGCGGUGAA